rnacentral:rRNA from 1 species
UACGGGGGGGCAAGCGUUGUUCGGAAUUACUGGGCGUAAAGGGCUCGUAGGCGGCCAACUAAGUCAGACGUGAAAUCCCCAGGCUCAACCUGGGAACUGCGUCUGAUACUGGAUGGCUUGAAUCCGGGAGAGGGAUGCAGAAUUCCAGGUGUAGCGGUGAAAUGCGUAGAUAUCUGGAGGAAUACCGGUGGCGAAGGCGGCAUCCUGGACCGGCAUUGACGCUGAUGAGCGAAAGCCAGGGGAGCAAACGGG